rnacentral:rRNA from 1 species
UCAAAAACAUAGUCUUAAGCUUGAUUUAAGAUACUGCCUGCCCUAUGUCGCUAGAUAAAUGGCCGCGGUACUUUGACCGUGCUAAGGUAGCAUAAUCAGUUGACUUUUAAAUGAAGUCUAGUAUGAAGGGCUCUUUGGGAAUUAGCUGUCUCUUGCUUAUUUAUUCGAAAUUACUCUGGAGGUGAAAAAGCCUCCAUCUCUUUAAAAGACGAGAAGACCCCAGGAGUUUAUAAAUGAUUUUGCUGGGGCGGCACAGGAACAAGCUCACCUUCCUUGAUUAUUUCAGCAUACUAAACGAAUAAUCUUAAAAUCGACUAAACUACCCUGGGGAUAACAGCAUAAUUUUAAUAAAAGAUUGUGACCUCGAUGUUGGACUAGGAAAGGUUCAGACCAGAAGUCUGGGUUUGAAGUUCUGUUCGAACUAUCUUCUCCUACGUGAUCUGAGUUCAGACC